CCCGGCUAUCGGAACGGCUGC
rnacentral:miRNA from 1 species